GGGGGCGUCAAGGUUUCGACGAGGCAGUUUAGGUUAUGAUGGAAGCGUGCCGAGGACUCAGGUCACCUCGCUAAUCCGCCUGAAAACGGUAUAAAUGCCGACAAUUACGCAUACGCUGCUUAAUAAAAUAUAGGUAGCCGGCUCCCCAGACUUGUCUGUGGGUUUGGGAGAGGCGUCAUUUUCACAGACUCGCGAAAGGCCCCGCCUGGUGGCUGACCGCUAAAAUUUACAGGCUGGCCCAAAAGUGUUUGUUCGGUUCACAUUUGCGGGCGAGAACUUUGAAUCGGACUGCGCACGGAGAUGCCAAAAUAGUCUCUGUUUCGGACCCGGGUUCAAUUCCCGGCGCCUCCACAA
rnacentral:tmRNA from 1 species